UGCCAGCCGCCGCGGUAAUACGGAGGGCGCAAGCGUUGUUCGGAAUCACUGGGCGUAAAGCGCGUGUAGGCGGUUUGGAUAGUCGGGUGUGAAAUCCCGGGGCUCAACCCCGGAACUGCACUCGAAACUUCCAGGCUAGAGUCCCGGAGAGGAAGGCAGAAUUCCCGGUGUAGAGGUGAAAUUCGUAGAUAUCGGGAGGAAUACCAGUGGCGAAGGCGGCCUUCUGGACGGUGACUGACGCUGAGACGCGAAAGCGUGGGGAGCAAACAGGAUUAGAUAC
rnacentral:rRNA from 1 species